UGUCAUCGGCCCUCUAGCCAAUGAUGGAACAGCUCCAGAGAACAGAAGCAUCGCCCAACAUGCGGCAGGAGCCAUUUACCCACGGUCCAUGCAGGGAGCAUCUUCUCCCCUUGGCUUAUGGUCCCAGGGCACAGAGAGGGGCUGGAACCCAAUUGCUCUGAGAAGCCAGAGUCAAAGUCUCGCAGACUAUUGUGCAAAGCUGUUAAACGAAGGACAGUUUAAGGCUGUGACCGAUUUCCCCCAUCGUGUUUUGGUAAAAGUAGAAUAAAAGCCUGCGCCCUGAUGGGGAUCUCCCCCCGGGCUGCUUCAGCGACCAGAACCGGGAUAUCAGUGGUCGCAGGAACUCCCCACAGAGGCCAUGCCUUUUACCACUGCUGAGUAACUGCUCGCCCUCCCCUUACAGUCUGAGGGUCACCUGGGGCAUGAAGGAUGAAGUCACGUGCCCAGAACCACCCAGGGAGGAUGGACCAGAGGCAGGACUUCCUGACUGGGAAGCAAGUUCUCUACUCCCUCUGCCAAGUGCUUCCCGUUAUCAUGACAUCACCAUUAGGAAUGGCCAGGGAUACUAACUGAACCUCUGAUGGCGUUGGUCUGGGGACCAUUAAACUCUGCAGACAU